CCUACGGGAGGCUGCAGUGGGGAAUAUUGCACAAUGGGGGAAACCCUGAUGCAGCGACGCCGCGUGAGUGAAGAAGUAAUUCGUUAUGUAAAGCUCUAUCAGCAGGGAAGAAAAUGACGGUACCUGAGUAAGAAGCCGCGGCUAACUACGUGCCAGCAGCCGCGGUAAUACGUAGGGGGCAAGCGUUAUCCGGAUUUACUGGGUGUAAAGGGAGCGUAGACGGCAGUGCAAGUCUGGAGUGAAAGGCGGGGGCUCAACCCCCGGACUGCUCUGGAAACUGUACGGCUGGAGUGCAGGAGAGGUAAGUGGAAUUCCUAGUGUAGCGGUGAAAUGCGUAGAUAUUAGGAGGAACACCAGUGGCGAAGGCGGCUUGCUGGACUGUAACUGACGUUGAGGCUCGAAAGCGUGGGGAGCAAACAGGAUUAGAUACCCGAGUAGUC
rnacentral:rRNA from 1 species